rnacentral:rRNA from 1 species
UACAGAGGGGGCAAGCGUUGUUCGGAAUUACUGGGCGUAAAGGGCGCGUAGGCGGCCUGUUAAGUCGAACGUGAAAUCCCCGGGCUCAACCCGGGAACUGCGUCCGAUACUGGCUGGCUUGAAUCCGGGAGAGGGAUGCGGAAUUCCAGGUGUAGCGGUGAAAUGCGUAGAUAUCUGGAGGAACACCGGUGGCGAAGGCGGCAUCCUGGACCGGUAUUGACGCUGAGGCGCGAAAGCUAGGGGAGCAAACGGG